UUCGGUCCCUAUCUGCCGUGGGCGCUGGAGAACUGAGGGGGGCUGCUCCUAGUACGAGAGGACCGGAGUGGCCGCAUCACUGGUGUUCGGGUUGUCAUGCCAAUGGCACUGCCCGGUAGCUAAAUGCGGAAGAGAUAAAUGCUGAAAGCAUCUAAGCACGAAACUUGCCCCGAGAUGAGUUCUCCCUGACUCCUUGAGAGUCCUGAAGGAACGUUGAAGACGACGACGUUGAUAGGCCGGGUGUGUAAGCGCAGCGAUGCGUUGAGCUAAGCGGUACUAAUGAACCGUGAGGCUUAACCUUACAACGCCGAAG
rnacentral:rRNA from 1 species